AUUUCCUAGACUAAAAAUGUAUUUGAAUAUAAAGUUGCUUUUUUCUAAUGCAUAAUUCAACUAAAUAAAUGCAUUUAAUUAUGUAUUUGUCAAUGCCAUGGAAUGGCCAUACAUAGAUUGGUUGAGUUAUACACGCACAACCAGAUACAGCUGGUCGGACUUCUUAACCUGUGACACUACCCGGAAAUAGAAUACAGACCGGAAGCUACCAUUUUAAGGAGAAGAACAUUAGCAGCCGUAGCCCCUAGACGGGUACACAUAAAAUUGACACGGGGCGGAAAAUAUUUGACCGAAGAAAAAUAAUGAAAAUACGACAAAAACUCCAGAAAGGGCUCAUUUGGAAGAGUUAACGAUUCAAGCAUCUGCUUCAAAUAAGAAACAUAUCUGAAUUAGCAGGCCAACCCAGCGGAAAUAGUUUUUGUUAACAACGAGUCGAAAAUAGCCCUCCUGGGCCGAUGGAGAGGCAGGCCUUUGAAAAUAUUUUUCCCUGGAUGAAGAAAAAUGGCAAUCUGACAUAAAAAAAAGGAGGCCGUUGUAGUUAUCACGGCAUUUCCCGCGCACUUUUUAUUAUAUAUUUUUUUCUUUAACCAUUUUGGCAGGGGAUUUGAAUGCUAGAUAUAAUGUUAGCUAAAACGACAGCUAUCAACCUAGUUAUUAUCUUUGUGGCUAGGUUAGCUUAGGAUCAGCUACCUAUGCAACCAGGCGUUCAUACGAGAUUCUAAAUUAUUAGCUAACUAGCUAACAACGACAUGAUUGGAAGACUCCUGUAUUCAAAUCCAAAUAACUUUUUCUUGUUACUUUGGUUGAAAACUGUAGGCAGCCGCCUAUAAAAAACAAAACAAAAAAAGGUAACGUUAGCCUGCUUACGUUAGCUGGCGAAUGACGAACUGCAAAUUUUUUAAUUUUUGCCACCACCUGCAAUUUCUUCUUUUUUUCAAGUUAGUCUAGUUAGCUACCUACCUGAAGAUCAAUGGAAGUAGACCCAUUCGUUUCUACCUGUUCCCCCCUUUUGAUCUUCAUUCAAGAAGAAUGCGCGACACCAGUCUCCAGACCAUAUACAUUCCACCAAACCUGUUGUCUUCGAGAUCGUGACAUCAACGGGCAGACAAAGAAGUGGAACACCUGUUUAUCCUUCAUCUCCCCAGCUGGAUGCUGACAGCUUCACAUUUUUGUAGGGCGAGUGACCCAGGAACAAC
rnacentral:lncRNA from 8 species